GGGACACGCGGAGGUGCCCGUGAGCCUGUUGGCAGUCCUGUAUAGAAGAAGGUGCAUGCUCAGGAGUUGCUAUCUGACUGAGUUGCUGAAGACAGCGAGUCACUGACAGAGGAGUAGGAAUUAUCAAAAGAGAAGUGUCUGCCACCCUGUUUCUUUUGUGCUAACCACCAACAGCUGGAGACCAGGCCAAAGAGAGGCAAGAGAAGCACGUCUCAAGGAAGCAUGUGCUUAAGCACGAAGAUGAACAAAGCUUCCAGGGCUAUUCAAAUCAGCUCUGGCUAUACCAAGUCCAUGCCUAUCCCUUAUACUUUCCAUAUAUUUUAAUAAAUUCAAAGAGAGCUGCUGAGAUUAAAGGGAAGAGCUUUGUGGUGGACAACGCGAAAUGAACAGGCUCUUCCUGCUGUGCAAGGCAGCGACUUGCUGAAGAUGGAGCCUGCACAUCAGAGGAGAGGAUCAUAAGGAUUCUGCCAGGUUUUAAUGCAACAUACCGGCUAUUUUGACUUGGUCGUCUUCUAAUCAAACUGGAGAUGUUUAGCUAGAAACUCCUUUCCCUGUUAUUUCAAACAUAGCCCAAGCACAGCUCCAGUGUCUGCUGAGGAUAGGUUGGGCAUGGAUGGGAGAGAGCUGACCCUACCUCGAUUUGUUGUGUUCCUUCCUUAUCUGCCCAUUCUAAUGGAAGUCUGCCACACAUCAUGGAUGCAAAGUGUGGAGCAUCAGAUGUUCACAGCUUCCCAUUGUGAAGUGAAGGUGUUGGGACCACUUUGUCUUCAGGACUGGACCAACGCUUUAACUACAAGAAAGUGUCAGAUAUGCGGGAUGAUGAUGCAUGGAAAGAAGAAAAACAUUCCUGAGUCAUCCUGUUUCCUGAGCAUAAGGAGGCACAAGAUAACUGCUUCAUAUGAGAUACGAACUGCAUGACCUGCUGAUGGCGAAGUGCUGCUUCCAUGGAAGAUGCAGCUUUAAACAAUAAGAGAAAGCAUCAACCCUCUCCUGCCAUAUUUUGAACUUUGGAGUGUGCACAAGGAUGGAAAAAUACAGAAGGAUGGAAAAACACAAGGAGUGGUGGGACACAACGCAAAGUGAGUCUGAGCUGCCUUUAACUUCAGCCUUUGCACUGUGCCAAUACACCAGGAAGAUGCAGUUUAUUCUACCAGGAAUGCUGAUAUCGCAAACACCUAUUUAAACACAGAAGUGUUGGAGGUUUGAACAUCUUUUAUGAAUACUACACCACUGUUUUAAGAAAAGACAAAUACAAGGUAAGCUUUGAGUUGGCCAUUAGAGAUGUAAUUAAACAAAGAACAUGAGUUGCAGUUACUUCUGCAGCAGCACAUUGCCUGAACCAAUGAACGUUUGUGAUUUUAAAGCAGUGUUAAUCUCAGGCAGUGAGUCCUGAAUAAUGUUUAUUAACUAUAUUUUAAUGACUUGUCGGUUUUCUAAAACAUGCUGAAGUAUUUUAGAAAUCACUUAGUAAAUGUAGUUUUAAU
rnacentral:lncRNA from 1 species